ACAUUCCUACAACAUAUCAUUAAUGCAACAAAUCCCAUUAGAACUCCAUUGCUAAGCAUGCUUAGGAUAGAGUAGUAGUUGGAUGGGUGAUUGCUAGGUAAAUCUUAUUGUGAAUGAA
rnacentral:rRNA from 1 species